ACCUGACUGCUAUCGGAUUGAUACUAAGCCAUGCGAGUCAUUGUAGCAAUACAAGGCAUACGGCUCAGUAACGCGUAGUCAACCUAACCUAUGGACGGGAAUAACCUCGGGAAACUGAGAAUAAUGCCCGAUAGAACAUUAUACCUGGAAUGGUUUAUGUUCCAAAUGAUUUAUCGCCAUAGGAUGGGACUGCGGCCUAUCAGUUUGUUGGUGAGGUAAUGGCCCACCAAGACUAUUACAGGUACGGGCUCUGAGAGGAGUAGCCCGGAGAUGGGUACUGAGACACGGACCCAGGCCCUAUGGGGCGCAGCAGGCGAGAAAACUUUGCAAUGUGCGAAAGCACGACAAGGUUAAUCCGAGCGAUUUCUGCUAAAGAGAUCUUUUGUUAGUCCUAGAAACACUAACGAAUAAGGGGUGGGCAAGUUCUGGUGUCAGCCGCCGCGGUAAAACCAGCACCUCAAGUGGUCAGGAUGAUUAUUGGGCCUAAAGCAUCCGUAGCCGGCUCUGUAAGUUUUCGGUUAAAUCUGUACGCUCAACGUACAGGCUGCCGGGAAUACUGCAGAACUAGGGAGUGGGAGAGGUAGACGGUACUCGGUAGGAAGUGGUAAAAUGCUUUGAUCUAUCGAUGACCACCUGUGGCGAAGGCGGUCUACCAGAACACGUCCGACGGUGAGGGAUGAAAGCUGGGGGAGCAAACCGGAUUAGAUACCCGGGUAGUCCCAGCUGUAAACUAUGCAAACUCAGUGAUGCAUUGGCUUGUGGCCAAUGCAGUGCUGCAGGGAAGCCGUUAAGUUUGCCGCCUGGGAAGUACGUACGCAAGUAUGAAACUUAAAGGAAUUGGCGGGGGAGCACCACAAGGGGUGAAGCCUGCGGUUC
rnacentral:rRNA from 1 species